GACGAACGCUGGCGGCGUGCUUAACACAUGCAAGUCGAACGGAAAGGCCCUGCUUGCAGGGUACUCGAGUGGCGAACGGGUGAGUAACACGUGGGUGAUCUGCCCUGCACUUCGGGAUAAGCUUGGGAAACUGGGUCUAAUACCGGAUAGGACCGCACUUUAGUGUGUGUGGUGGAAAGUUUUUUCGGUGUAGGAUGAGCUCGCGGCCUAUCAGCUUGUUGGUGGGGUAAUGGCCUACCAAGGCGGCGACGGGUAGCCGGCCUGAGAGGGUGUACGGCCACAUUGGGACUGAGAUACGGCCCAGACUCCUACGGGAGGCAGCAGUGGGGAAUAUUGCACAAUGGGCGCAAGCCUGAUGCAGCGACGCCGCGUGGGGGAUGAAGGCCUUCGGGUUGUAAACUCCUUUCGCUAGGGACGAAGCUUUUUGUGACGGUACCUAGAUAAGAAGCACCGGCUAACUACGUG
rnacentral:rRNA from 1 species